GCAAAUACCCGCAGCGAAUUUUGUUAGACUACAAAGUAAAGGGACCCAAGGUUUUGUUCCUUAAAUAAUCCGUGCAUUCAUUUACACAUUUAACUCCACAGCAUUAACAGAGGCUGGUAUUCGUGACUUGUUUGACGUAGUUGUUGGAAAUGAAGAUUAUCAAAAUGCUAAACCCCAUCCAGAUGCAUUUUUGACAGCUGCCAAACUAUUGGGUGUGGAACCGCAGGACUGCUGGGCAUUUGAAGACUCCGACAUUGGUAUAGAAGCAAUCAAAAGAGGUGGUUUUGCCAAAUUUGUGGAUGUAAGGCGUUUAGAAGGCUAUCCCGAUGUUGGUAGACUUGAAAGUAAGGGGUGAAACCAGUGAGCAUUCCUGAAGCAAGGAUCAUUUGCACAAGAGUCUGGAAGCCAAGAUCAUGUGCAUGUUAAGAGACAUAUCAAGAUACAAAAUGGAGUCUCUUGUUGCCCUGCUGCAAUAUCAUACUAAAUAGGGUAAAUUUGCCUGCAGGACAAACAGUCAAGUUCUCCUUACUAUGUGCUAGUGGUCUUCUAUAAGUUGCCUUGAGACAAUUUGUUUUUCCCAGUUCAUUCAUUCUCAUGGACCUAUUUGACAAGAAAAGGUAGAGAGAAGAUGGGAGUUGAUCGCUGGUUUAGCAGCAUUAAACAGCGUUUUUUUCCCCCCCCCCCACUAAUUGUCCAGCAUAUCUUAUUUCAAUGUAAACGAUGCCAAAACAUCAAAAUGUGAAAUUCAUGCUCCACAAUAAUUUCAGCUUUCCAUUUCUUAAUUUUAGCACAGUCACUGCAUAAUAGGGACAUUUUUUUGGGAAAAUACCAAGGAAUUCUUGUUUUAUAAAAUUUUUAUCCAUGAAAGUCAUGGUAAAUGCCAGAUUUUAUAAAUUUAUAACAGCAGAUCAAAUCCUUCAUCAUUUUUCAAUUUUCACUAUUAAAAAAUUAAGUUUAAUAUAUUAUUAUGCAUUGCAAGAACUUUUAAAUAGCCUAAGGGAAAUUAUUUAUUUGUUCCAAAUAUUGAAUUAUGACAUGUUAAGUAACAAGUUAGAUAAAUUUCUUGUUUUACUUAGGCUUCAGAUAGUCUUAAACAAUGCUCUUCAGUAGUUUAUUCAUGUUACAUUUUUAUCUGUUUUGUUACUGUUAUUUAUUUUAAUUAUUAUUUAAUCACUUCUCAAUUACAGCUUUUUAACUGGUGUUUUGCUGAUACAUGCAUAUCAUGCUAGGUAACAAAUUAUCUAAUUCAGUCUGUUCAGUAAUAUAUUUUGUUAGCUUAUAUAGACAAAUAGGAAAGGGGGUUGGUUACUUAUAAGAGCUAUUGUUUUACUAGUAAGAUAAAGUACACUAUGACUUGGCAAACUUUGCAGUGAAUUACAUUUUUAAUCAUAUUUAUAACAAAAUUCUCAAUUGUGAUUGGUUCUCCAAGUGCCUAUUUGUCAGAUAAUUGGCACAUGAUCACAUGGGUGUCUAAUUACAAGUAUCCAAUUUGAACUUUUUGUAAUUGGAUACCCACAUGAUUCACACAUCAAUUAUGUGCACUUUAAUGGCUUUCUUCUCAAUGUUUCCUACUUAUGAAAAGCUCAACAAACUUUUUUGCUUAAAAUGAGUUCUCAAAAGACAUUUUUAAUUCCAAAAUUUGUUAUAGAUAUGAUUAAUUAGUAAUGGGAUCUCAUGUUGUACAAUUCAGGGAGUAAUCAUGCUCAUAAUUUCAAAUUAGCCUCACACUUCACGCUUGCCUGAUGCUGAAAUUACUUGUGCGAUUUAUCCCUGAAUUGUACUCCACUCAGGCCAAUAAUCAUAAUUACCAAUUUAAUUGUACAUAUCUCUCUUCAUCUAGCAAUCUGUCAUAUUUCAAAGAAUUUGUAAAUAAUAACAAUAAUAAUUACAUUUCAUUCUUUCUUUGUUAGUUAGCAAACUGGUAUCCAGACAUGGUGACACAAUAAUAUUGAAACAUGGAAUUUAUAAUUUCAACAUAAUAUUUAUUGAAUAAUAUUGCCACUAUCUGUUUUCAGGGGAGGAAUGCAAAAUAAAAUGAUUGAUUAUUUCA
rnacentral:lncRNA from 1 species